ACUAAAUAGAUACCCUGGUAGUCCAUGCCGUAAACUAUGGAUACUAGCUGUUGGGGGUAUCGACCCCUCCAGUAGCGAAAGCUAAACGCGUUAAGUAUCCCGCCUGUGGAGUACGAUCGCAAGAUUAAAACAUAAAGGAAUUGACGGGGACCCGCACAAGCGGUGGAGCGUGUUCCUUAAAUUCGAUGCUAAACGAAGAACCUUACCAGGGCUUGACAUCCCUUGAAUUACUCCGAAAGGAGUGAGUGCUUUAUUGAGCAAGGUGACAGGUGAUGCAUGGCCGUCGUCAGCUCGUGUCGUGAGAUGUUUGGUUAAGUCCAUCAACGAGCGCAACCCUUAUACUUAGUUGUAUUUUCUAGGUAGACUGCCCGGUAACGGGGAGGAAGGGGGGUAGUGAUGUCAGGUCAGUAUUUCCCUUACGUCCU
rnacentral:rRNA from 1 species